UUACGGCCACAUAAGUUUGAAACACCUAUUCCCGUACAAUCACCGAAGUUAACUAACAUUGAGCCUGGUCAGUAUCUAGAUGGGUGACCGCUCGGUAAUAGCAUCUGUUGUAA